AACGCACAUUGCGCUCUCUGGUAUUCCGGGGAGCAUGCUCGUUUCAGAAUCAUUAAAAAUCUCAAAAGACACAGUUCUCGCAUAUUGCGAGGCUGUAUCUUUCGGAUGUGAGCCUCUUUGCUUUGAUGCAAUGGCUUGAAAAUGAUUGUGUUUGCUACCGGCCUUUUGGUUCGGUUCUCUCAAGUGCAACAGAUGUUAAUUCAUUUCGUUAACUCUUGGUGAGAAACGUCCCUUCAACCGGUGUUGGCUUACACUCAACCAAUCUAUACCUUCAGCGAUACGUGUAUCGUUGUUUGAUAACUUGGUCUGAAAUCGAGCAAGAAAACCCGCUGAACUUAA
rnacentral:misc_RNA from 1 species